GCAACAUCAUCUAAUGGAAUGUUAAUAACCCUCCUCUUAACGAAUGUCCCUUGGUUGUGAUCUCGAUGUAAGUAUGGAGCGUCCUCUUUGGCUAACAGGAUACUUGGUCAACCUCGACUGAAAAUGGAGGAAGAUCAUCAAACUAAUCAUAAUUUUCUGAAAUGUCAGUCUUGUCCUCAACUCCAACGAUUUUCUUUUCCCUGGAAGAACUAUGUGGCGCUUUGGCU
rnacentral:lncRNA from 1 species